AGUGAACGCUGGCGGUAGGCCUAACACAUGCAAGUCGAACGGCAGCACAGUAAGAGCUUGCUCUUACGGGUGGCGAGUGGCGGACGGGUGAGGAAUACAUCGGAAUCUACUUUUUCGUGGGGGAUAACGCAGGGAAACUUACGCUAAUACCGCAUACGACCUACGGGUGAAAGCAGGGGAUCUUCGGACCUUGCGCGAUUGAAUGAGCCGAUGUCGGAUUAGCUAGUUGGCGGGGUAAAGGCCCACCAAGGCGACGAUCCGUAGCUGGUCUGAGAGGAUGAUCAGCCACACUAGAACUGAGACACGGUCCAGACUCCUACGGGAGGCAGCAGUGGGGAAUAUUGGACAAAGGGCGCAAGCCUGAUCCAGCCAUACCGCGUGGGUGAAGAAGGCCUUCGGGUUGUAAAGCCCUUUUGUUGGGAAAGAAAAGCAGCAGGUUAAUACCCCGCUGUUCUGACGGUACCCAAAGAAUAAGCACCGGCUAACUUCGUG
rnacentral:rRNA from 1 species